UGUAUUUGAAGGUGACGUUGAUCUUUAUGAGUCACUCAGAGGCCCUGAAGACACAGAAAAUAAUCCUGUAUAUGUCAACAUAGAUGAAUCCUGCUGCGUUACAUCAGCUGAGCUUUAAAGCAUUACUGAGAAAGGUUCUGAAGAAGAAUGAAGAUAAACUAUAUCUGCCUCAUUGUCUACCCUGUAACUCUGAGAACGCCACCUGGAUUAAGACUUCUGUGAAUCAAGAGAAUCUCCAGAGGAAGACUCUUUCUUCAGCUGCUGAACACGACAAACAAAAUCUACAAAACUUGUUGGUAUUUGAGAUUGUUUCUGAAUUAUAUUUGAGUCU